rnacentral:rRNA from 1 species
UACGGGGGGGGCAAGCGUUGUUCGGAAUUACUGGGCGUAAAGGGCUCGUAGGCGGCCAACUAAGUCGGAUGUGAAAUCCCCAGGCUUAACCUGGGAACUGCAUCCGAUACUGGAUGGCUUGAAUCCGGGAGAGGGAUGCAGAAUUCCAGGUGUAGCGGUGAAAUGCGUAGAUAUCUGGAGGAAUACCGGUGGCGAAGGCGGCAUCCUGGACCGGCACUGACGCUGAUGAGCGAAAGCUAGGGGAGCAAACGGG